rnacentral:lncRNA from 1 species
GGUAGUUUUCACCAGUGAAGGUGAUGGGAGAAUUUAAAAGUAAGCUGUUGGAUGCUAUUUUUUGGGGGUUAAAAAAAAUUUGUUUUGGUCCUGUAAGAUCAACAGUAGCUUUGAUACUAGUGUUGUAAAAUAGAAUAGUAAUAGCUUAAAACAAAAAUUGGAAUAACUAAAACUUAAAAAUGGGUUAAAAUUCCAACAUGAUUUCAUUUCAUUAAUUGCAAAAUUUAUAGGUAAGAAAAUAAAUAACUUU